rnacentral:rRNA from 1 species
GACGAACGCUGGCGGCGUGCUUAACACAUGCAAGUCGAACGGAAAGGCCCUGCUUUUGUGGGGUGCUCGAGUGGCGAACGGGUGAGUAACACGUGAGUAACCUGCCCUUGACUUUGGGAUAACUUCAGGAAACUGGGGCUAAUACCGGAUAGGAGCUCCUGCUGCAUGGUGGGGGUUGGAAAGUUUCGGCGGUUGGGGAUGGACUCGCGGCUUAUCAGCUUGUUGGUGGGGUAGUGGCUUACCAAGGCUUUGACGGGUAGCCGGCCUGAGAGGGUGACCGGCCACAUUGGGACUUGAGAUACGGCCCAGACUCCUACGGGAGGCAGCAGUGGGGAAUAUUGCACAAUGGGCGGAAGCCUGAUGCAGCAACGCCGCGUGCGGGAUGACGGCCUUCGGGUUGUAAACCGCUUUCGCCUGGGACGAAGCGUGAGUGACGGUAAGGGGUAAAGAAGCACCGGCUAACUACG